rnacentral:rRNA from 1 species
CAGUCGCCGCGGUAAUACGUAGGUGGCAAGCGUUGCCCGGAAUUAUUGGGCGUAAAGCGCGCGCAGGUGGUUUAAUAAGUCUGAUGUGAAAGCCCACGGCUCAACCGUGGAGGUCAUUGGAAACUGUUAAACUUGAGUGCAGGAGAGAAAAGUGGAAUUCCUAGUGUAGCGGUGAAAUGCGUAGAUAUUGGGAGGAACACCGGCGGCGAAGGCGGCUAACUGGACGACAACUGACGUUGAGGCUCGAAGGCGUGGGUAGCAAACAGGAUUAGAUACCCCAGUAGUCCCUGUCUCUUAUACA